AAGUCGUAACAAGGUUUCCGUAGGUGAACCUGCGGAAGGAUCAUUACUAGAGCAAAGGAUAGACACUACCCUACUUCGGUAGGGUUUAGAGUCGUCGGGCCUCUCGGAGAAGCUCGGUCCUGAACUCCACCCUUGAAUAAAUUACCUUUGUUGCUUUGGCGGGCCGCCUCGUGCCAGCGGCUUCGGCUGUUGAGUGCCCGCCAGAGGACCACAACUCUUGUUUUUAGUGAUGUCUGAGUACUAUAUAAUAGUUAAAACUUUCAACAACGGAUCUCUUGGUUCUG
rnacentral:misc_RNA from 1 species